CAAACCUUCCAUUCCUUGAGAUAAUGCAUCUUCAGCCUGUUGACAAGAAUGCUGCAGAUUGAAGAUCGCCAUCAAUUGCUGAUCCGUUAACGCCUCGAGGUGGUUUCUAAUUAUCUGAAUCUCAAGAGGAAAAUACAAAUGCAAAGAAAGAAGUAAGAGUUAACAAAAUGUAUAUAUUUGUUAGUUAAUUACUAGUGGUAGUUUGUUUUUAGCCUCUAUAAAUAAAGUCUUGAUGUAAUCGCUUAUUCAUUCUAAAUAUCAUUUCUAUUUUACUAUCUAAACUUUUCUCUUAUCCACGGCUUCCAUCAAGAAUUGUAAUAAUAUUUUCAAACAAAAUCACCUUGAGAAGUUCGGAUGAACGGAAUCCACCAAGCCACAUGAAACAUCUUUCUGCAGGUGUCUUCCACAACCCAGAAAGUAUGUGAAAUACAUCAGCCUUUGCACCUAUGCUCUUCAACUUGUAUAAUUCAUCAUAAUGUACCAUGACACCAUCAACAAGAAGAUGCAGUUCAUUAUCACCCAUUUGAGAAUUUAUAGCUGAUCUUAUGUCAUUGAUUAGUCGUUGAUGCUCGUCUACCCAACGAGCAUAGUCCAUAUCAAAUGCUACCGAACCUGAAGGUUUAAAAUACUUCAUCAGUCACAUACUCACAUCCCUCCAUAAUUAAUUUGCAAAAUGCCUUCUUAAUUCUCAUGAUGCCACAUGAAUGUAAUCAUCCAUUAAUCAUCUAUUUUGCUGCUUACAAAGAAUGAUUAGUUUUAAAGAAAUGCACAUCAUAAAUUGCAGUUAAAAUAACAAAAGUAAUGUAGUUUCUAUUUGAAAACAUAUAUUGGACACAAACACCAUAUUUCUACCACUAUGAAGGAAAUGAAUCUCAAGGUUGCAUCACUUCACCUGCAUUACUGUUUCCAACAAUUGAAUGACCAUGAUCCGCUGUAACUCCAGGUGCAACAAAUGUACCCUAGAGGGGAAAAGCAAUCCAUGGAAAAAAUAAGUAGAAUGACAAUAAAAUUAUAUUGAACAAACCAAUUUUACCAAAUGAAAAAUCUUUUUAAGUUGUUGGACCUGUUGACGUACUUGUUGAAGCUCAUGUUCUAUUUGAGCAAGCCUAAGUCGACUGUUCUCCAAUUGUUGCACAUAAGCCUAUUCAAAACCAAAACAUAUAAUUUAGUCCAGUAAUGCUAUAUCGCACGAAUUGUUUUUGUCACAAAUGCUGAGAUGUCUUUCUUUUAGAGAAAUGUCCAAUUAAAAUGUUUUAUCAGUAUUUGUGAGUUACAGCGUAGUGACAUAAAACAGUUCAAAAAUCAGAGUUAUGUAUCCAUUUAAAACAUCAACAUUAUCCAGUCCCUUUGACAGAUUAAAGAUAUACCAGAACAGGAAGAAAACAAAAUUUGUAGUCAAAUUCAAUGCAUCAGAAUAGCUCUUCCAAUCCCAAAAGUCAAAUUAGAUGAUCAUUUAUGAAAAAUGAAAGUAUUAUUAUAAGAAUCUUACAUUAACUUUUGCAUCUUAAUAAGUUAUCAAAAACUCUUAUGUCCUAAGGCAUAACAAUUUUUCAGAAGGUUUCUUAUUUAAGUAUUACAGUACUGCUAAUAAAUGUUUAUAAGUUUGUAAGGACUUAUUAAGUUAACCCAAAAAAAUAAAAAAACGUGGAUACUCGACUAAACACAUCAAAGCAGAAAUUUGUUUAAAUACAACACACACACAAGACAUAUCAUAAGUUGGGAUCAAAGCAAUUACCUUUUUCCUUAACCUACUUUUCCUUGCAGCCUCGCGAUUCUGCAUCAGCCGACGAAGAGUCUAAAAAAAUGCAACCACAUAAAUAAAUGUAUCAGCAGCAGAAAUGUAACAUAAUUUAAAUUUGAAUUAGAUAGCACAAAGUCACAAUAAACAACCUUGUGCUCAUCAGAUUGACCCUUAGUCUUGCAUUGAUCCUUGGAUUCAACAACUACAAGAGCCUCAUUUCCAACACCAUUGCACCAAGACACGGUUGAUAAACACAGAAAAAUAAGGACAUUCCCACUCUUCAUACAUCAAAUAUAUACACAUAGAUAUUGAAAGAGUGUGAAAAGAUCAAAAGAUGGUUGAAAUGUACUUGAUUAUUUUUAUCAUCAGUGUCAAAAUCUUCUGUCUUUUGACUGUUAUCUGCCAUGCCUGAAGAAGAAGCUGAACCAAUGUUCUAUACAAUACACAACAUUGAAUCAGAUAAGGCUGUUAGUUUUACACAAAACUGAGAGAGAGAGAGAGAGAGAGAGAGAGAGAGAGAGAGAGGGGGGAGAUUAUUACACUGUUGAAUGUUCCAUACUGCAAGUUACUUGCAACAACAGUGACAUUGUUAGACUUUGCACCAAACACAUGCCUGAAUAUGAUAAAAAAAAAAGUGAAAUGAAAAUAUUGACAAAGAAGGAAUUUAAUGAAAGUAUAAAUUACAUUCAAUUCAAUUAAAAGACAUUAAUUGUUUUAUUAUUUUGGGGUGAUGAGUGUUGACUCCAAUAUAUAAUAAAAUUAAAGUCUACCAUAUCAAUUAAUCUAAGUCAUUAAUCAAUAUUGAAAUUAAAGGUCAUGAUUUGGAGUAAGUUAAAACACUUACUCUUGGAGUCAAAAUAUCUCUAUAUAUAUAUAUAUAUAUAUAACCUAAUUUUUUCGCGUGACUUUACUAUAUUAACCAUAGAUUUAAUUUAUUCAAAAUGUCAUCUCGAAUUUUAACCUAAUUUUUCCCUCCACACUUUUGCAUUUAAUGUUUAUCUAAAGUAAAAUAAAACUAUGUUCCUAAUUAUAAGCUGUAUUUUUGGAAAGGAAUAACCGUUAACUCGUCUCGCUAUACUUAACUUAAUCUCUUAUUUAUAGAUCUUAACUCGUCUUGCUAUACUUAACAUAUUAUGUUACGUUACUUAUAAAUGUUAAUUCGUCUCGCUUAUUUAUUAAAGUUAACCCGAACGCAAAAUGUUGCCCUAGAUUUAACCUAAUUUUUNUCUAUUUGUGGGAAACAGAUAGCUCUGGUUCGCCGCCUAUUUGGCUAACGAAUUUGUGGAGGAAUGGUAAAGGUACUGGAGUGUUCAUUCCUCAAGUUUCAUGCAAGGAAAAUCAAAGACCAGGUACAAUUUUGAUCUCUUAUUCAUUAGUUUAUUAUUUUUUAAAUUCACAAAUUUGUAAAUUGACGGUUCGAACUACUACGAUAAUUGUUACUUUGCUCACUGUUGUGAUUCUUUUGCAGCAAGAAUGAACAAUAGGACGAGGAAAAUUUAUAGACCAGUGGUGAAUAAGAAAUGAAGAAGCUUAUGCUGUGGAAAUUUGUAUUUGGUGAAAUUUGAACAGUGGAGUUUUAUCAUAAUAUAGCUUAUUAUGAUUUAUCCAAAGAAAAAGUGCAUGAAAAUAAGGGAGAAUAGGUUGUGAAAAACUCUCGUGAUAUCUAUGUACAGAUAAUAAUGUUAAUGCAAUUUAAUUUGUACAUAUUCUUGAUUGAAAGAAAGAAAAGACACAUAGAAGUACAGAUAUUAAAAUUUCAUGUGUCAAUUUACCAUAUAAGAGUUGGAAUGAUAUAUCUAUGGCAAUUAGUUUCAAGCGUAGCACUGUCACAACAUAACAUCCCCUUGAAUGUAUCAAUACGUCAAUUAUUCGCCUACACACUAGUUAUGCACUAUAGAAUGUGUCAAUUCCUUUAGUAUUCUUUAGGAAAUGCUGACCAUAAUGAAUUAAGAGCUCUGAUUCGUGAAAUGAAAUCAUUUAUGACAAGGAGAGCACGAGCAGCUUGGUGCGCAGUCAAAAUUCGACGCAUCUGUUGCAGUGUUUGUUGCCUCAAGAUAUCUGCCUAAGAAAAACAAUAAUGCUCAAAAUGUUAUCACUCUCAAUUAAAUGUGGAAUAAGAUAAUGUUGAGUGAUCAAGAUUACAUUGUCUUAAUUAAUUACCUGAUGAAUGAAAGUCUCCAGUGUGGAAAGCUUGGCCAUUGAAAGAGCCAUUUGACCCAUAUACUCAACAACAUUUCCAGAUCCAGUGGACGUGGAGGAAAGUGUCUCUGAAAGAGAUUGUUGCAAACCUUCCAUUCCUUGAGAUAAUGCAUCUUCAGCCUGUUGACAAGAAUGCUGCAGAUUGAAGAUCGCCAUCAAUUGCUGAUCCGUUAACGCCUCGAGGUGGUUUCUAAUUAUCUGAAUCUCAAGAGGAAAAUACAAAUGCAAAGAAAGAAGUAAGAGUUAACAAAAUGUAUAUAUUUGUUAGUUAAUUACUAGUGGUAGUUUGUUUUUAGCCUCUAUAAAUAAAGUCUUGAUGUAAUCGCUUAUUCAUUCUAAAUAUCAUUUCUAUUUUACUAUCUAAACUUUUCUCUUAUCCACGGCUUCCAU
rnacentral:lncRNA from 1 species